rnacentral:rRNA from 1 species
UACGUAGGGUGCAAGCGUUGUCCGGAAUUAUUGGGCGUAAAGAGCUCGUAGGCGGCUUGUCACGUCGACUGUGAAAACCCGGGGCUCAACUCCGGGCCUGCAGUCGAUACGGGCUGGCUUGAGUGCGGUAGGGGAGACUGGAAUUCCCGGUGUAGCAGUGAAAUGCGUAGAUAUCGGGAGGAAUACCGAUGGCGAAGGCAGGUCUCUGGGCUGACACUGACGCUCAUGCACGAAAGCGUGGGGAGCAAACAGG